GUUUCUUUUUAUUGUUUUCUUUUUCUUUGCAUUUUUCUUUUCGCCUGCAUUUGUGUAAUCAUCUUUUGCUCUUCUGCAUUGUUCGUUGUCAAAUUGUACUAUCAUAAGCUUGAUUGUAAUUGUCAAAGGUAAGGUUUGAAAGUUUGUUUGUUUGAUUUGUAGUGAACUUGGGUUUUCCUUUAAGCUUUGAAAUUGAGUUUAAUUUCUUUUAUUGUCGUGGUUACUUCGGUACAUUGUAAAAGAAGGCCG
rnacentral:lncRNA from 1 species